GCGGGCAUAGCUUAAUGGCAAAGCUCCAGCCUUCCAAGCUGAUUAUGCGGGUUCGAUUCCCGCUGCCCGCU
rnacentral:tRNA from 1 species